rnacentral:rRNA from 1 species
UCGCUCCUACCGAUUGAAUGAUCCGGUGAAAUCUCUGGACCGUUGUCCGUUUUGGAUUUCCAAAGCAUACUUCUGGGAAAUUGAUUAAACCUUAUCAUUUAGAGGAAGGAG